ACUGCGCCCCAGUUCUAUACCUUGUCGCGAACUCUCUUUCGCGGGAUCUACUCCAAGGCGACCUCUCUCGAGCUAGCGAUCUCCUCCGAGCACAAGCGAUCCGCCUUCUCCGAGAGCGAUCUCCUCCGACCUCUCGCUAUCUCCUCCGCGCGACCUCCAUCCUCAGCAGCCGCCUCCUCCCCAACCAUCGACGACACCGAGGAUGACGCCAAAUCUGACGCUGACGACGAAGCCAACGCCGACACCGACACCAAGGCCGACGCAUCUGCUUCCCUUUUAACAAGAACUUUACUAUUCUAUCGUUCGCCGCUCUCUUUUUCUCCUUUAACUUCUUGAAUCAUACCUAAAAUUAAGCAAACAUUGGUCUAUACGAGAUCGCCUCCUAUUAUCGUAAAUCAAUCGCAAGUAUAAAGAUGGAUCAUGGUCAUCUGAGGAGACCAGAGAAAAAUGGGCACCUACUUCUGAAAUGCUUUCCGAGGAAGGGUUGACACAAGAAGAUGGAAAUUUUGAGGCCAGUGAAAAAGUUUUCAAAGCAAUCAUGGGGCCAGAACACACAGGGAGGGUACGUACACAUGAUUUUGGGGUAACUCCAAGAAGAUAUUUUCCUCAUAGCACAAUGACUCGAGGCAUCAGCAGUGGAGGCAAUACUGCAUUUGAUCGAGUUGUAAAACUUGAGGAGGUGGUGCAAACACUACAAAGUGAUGUCAGAUAAUUCAUGAAAAAUUAUCAGGGAUAACAUCCACUACUAGGAAGCUC